UAACCUAAUACAACACGCUUUACCGGCUAACAGAGAUAUUCGCGUAGCACGCGCGUCGCUGCUUCUCCGAUGCUCAAGUUUACGAACGUAGCAGUGAAAGUAUCUCGCGAGCUGACUAGAGAUACGAACUCGCUGCUGACAUAAUUUAACCUUGUUUACAUAGCGUGACUCGUUGCGAAUUGUCAAAUCCUUAUUUCACGCCACCAAACCUGUUUCCAGGCUAUUCGUGUAUACAUACGACAGGUAUAAAACAUAACCUCUCUUCCGUUCGCAGUUACAAGAGAGGUGUAAUUUGCUUGGAAAGCCUCGUACGCAAACGAGUCUCGAAUCGAUAAUAAAUUACGAGGAUGAUGUGGGAAACGUUAAAGGAAGUUCUCGUGACAACGAUUAAACGGUUAACGCGUGGAUAUAGCGUAAUGCGGAUCGACGUGCAACUUAAUAUCUAACGCGAUAUCUCGUUUAAUUUCCUAAUGGCGAGAAUACGUAGCGCCGAGUUGCAGAGGGAAAGAAAAAGAAGAAAAUUAGAAGGAACGACGCGUUACGAAGCAAGUUAAAUGUUAUACAGUGGAUCGGGAGAAAUUAGAUUUCCAUACAAAAGAAGGAACACUGCGAUUACCAUUAGAUAUUAGGAGGAAAUUAAAGCGAGCGUAGGACAAUACAAUAUUCGUAAAUAAUUCAGCACGCGGAUAAAUAUGACCCAGUAAAGGACGAUGAAUAAGUAAAUUCGUAUUACGUAGCGACAUGACAGUCGGAAGCAUGUUUCGUGCGCACCGUCAACUUUCAUAGUUCGACUUGUCUGAAAUAUUCAAAUGUCGUGGAACGAAUAGUAUAGACACGAGUAUCAAAAUCGAAGCAAAAGCCGCUUCUCUCUUAUGGCGAAUGUACUUGAAAUUUUGUCCGCUAGAAUCGCUUCAUGUCUCCUCCCCGUGUCCGGCAAUCGACUUUCGUCUUAUAGUGAACUGUUUAUCAUCGCUCGUUCUCUUCGCACGCGAUACCGCCUUCUAAUCUGAAGAUCGAGCCGCUGCGAAUACGAAAUGGCGCUGUCCUCGUUACGGAAGACGCGACGCGCAGUCUUGCCAUCGAAGGAGCAAAUAAUUUCGGUGAACGUUUCUCAUUCAUUCUGAGUCAUUCGUCAUUCGCGUGGUUACGAGUUGGCGCUACGAGAUUCAACUUGAACGCGCCCACGAAUCUCUGGUGCGCUAUCGAACCGGCAGUUUGCUCACCAAACAAGGCAAGAUAAAUACCACGAUGCUGUAGUAUUACGAGGAUUAAGCAAGUAAUGGUAGUCACCUUUCACACGUUUCAGCGGAAGAAAGAGCGCAAAUAUUCCGCGUCUCGGAGAAGCGUGAGAUUUUAAGAUGACCGCUAAGCGUUUCGGUACAAAGGAUGCGUCCGUGAAUUUAGAGCUUAUGGUGGUAACGGCUAUGGAAAAUUUUCGCGUGACUCACGAUAAAUCGUCGGCCAACAACGGAGAAACCUGUUUCUCUCCCUCUGUAGCGUAAAAGAAGGACAGGGAACAGGAGUCAGAAAGAAGGAGAAGCAAGAAAGAAAGAGAGAGAGAGA